rnacentral:rRNA from 1 species
UGGGGAAUAUUGCGCAAUGGGGGAAACCCUGACGCAGCCAUGCCGCGUGAAUGAAGAAGGCCUUCGGGUUGUAAAGUUCUUUCGGUAUUGAGGAAGGUUGAUGUGUUAAUAGCACAUCAAAUUGACGUUAAAUACAGAAGAAGCACCGGCUAACUCCGUGCCAGCAGCCGCGGUAAUACGGAGGGUGCGAGCGUUAAUCGGAAUAACUGGGCGUAAAGGGCACGCAGGCGGUUAUUUAAGUGAGGUGUGAAAGCCCUGGGCUUAACCUGGGAAUUGCAUUUCAGACUGGGUAACUAGAGUACUUUAGGGAGGGGUAGAAUUCCACGUGUAGCGGUGAAAUGCGUAGAGAUGUGGAGGAAUACCGAAGGCGAAGGCAGCCCCCUGGGAAUGUACUGACGCUCAUGUGCGAAAGCGUGGGGAGCAAACAGGAUUAGAUACCCUGGUAGUCCACGCUGUAAACGCUGUCGAUUUGGGGGUUGGGGUUUAACUCUGGCGCCCGUAGCUAACGUGAUAAAUCGACCGCCUGGGGAGUACGGCCGCAAGGUUA